rnacentral:sRNA from 1 species
UCGAGCGAAAGCGAGAAAGCGUUGCCAACGGCAACGACCCGAAGGGCGAAGCGCGCAGCGCUGAGUAAUCCUUCCCCCGUCAUCC